rnacentral:rRNA from 1 species
CCUACGGGUGGCAGCAGUGGGGAAUAUUGGACAAUGGGGGAAACCCUGAUCCAGCGACGCCGCGUGAGUGAAGAAGUAUUUAGGUACGUAAAGCUUCAUUAGCAGGAAAGAAAAUGACGGUACCUGACCAAGAAGCCCCGGCCAACUACGUGCCAGGAGCCGCGGUUACACGGAGGGGGCAAGCGUUAUCCGGAUUUGCGGGGGGUAAAGGGAGUGUAGACGGCAGGGCAAGUCUGGAGUGAAAUGCUGGGGCCCAACCCCGGAACUGCUCUGGAAACUGUGAAGCUGGAGUGGAGGAGAGGUAUGCGGAAUUCCUGGUGUAGCGGUGAAAUGCGUAGAUAUCAGGAGGAACACCGGUGGCGAAGGCAGCUUACUGGAGUGUAACUGACGUUGAGGCUCGAAAGCGUGGGUAGCGAACAGGAUUAGAUACCCUUGUAGUC